rnacentral:snoRNA from 2 species
AGCCACUGAUGACAAACUAAAUAACUUUUCUGACACCUCGUAUGAGAGCAAAGCUCCUGAUUCUAACGCUACUCUGAGGCUC